rnacentral:rRNA from 1 species
GACGAACGCUGGCGGCGUGCUUAACACAUGCAAGUCGAACGGUAAGGCACCAGCUUGCUGGGGUACACGAGUGGCGAACGGGUGAGUAACACGUGGGUGACCUGCCCCGCACUUCGGGAUAAGCCUGGGAAACUGGGCCUAAUACCGGAUACGACCGCACCGAGAGGGUGUGGUGGAAAGUUUUUCGGCGUGGGAUGGGCCCGUGGCCUAACAGCUUGUUGGUGGGGUAAUGGCCUACCAAGGCGGCGACGGGUAGCCGGCCUGGGAGGGUGGACGGCCACAGUGGGACUGGGGCACGGCCCAGGCGCCUACGGGGGGCAGCAGUGGGGAAUAGUGCACAAUGGGCGGAAGCCUGAUGCAGCGACGCCGCGUGGGGAUGACGGCCUUCGGGUUGUAAACUCCUUUCACCAUCGACGAAGGUUUUCUGACGGUAGAUGGAGAAGAAGCACCGGCUAACUACGUG